GUGGACAGUCUCUCCAGGAAAGGUUUGAGGGAAGCUCCAUGGUUACUUCCUGUGCUAUCCCUGCUCUCUGGAUAAACAGACGAUUUCACUCUUCAGUGCUGACAAACUGCCAAAAAGUGUACGAAAAUUAAUGAAAAACAAGCAACAUGUUUAAAUAGUGUGACACUUUAUAAUUUCCAAUGUUUUGUUGUAAAUUUAAUGUUAUUCAGGGGGCAUGAAUGAGGGCUACCAAUAGCACCUGCUAAUCACCAAUUUUAACCUCAAGCCUUGAGUUUGUCUUGCAUUUUUUGUUUUCCACCAUCCUUGCCUCCUCCCCCACUACACUUUCCUCUUCUAUUCAGCUACUCCACCUCUGCAACUGCACUCUCCUCUGCAACGGUCUCCCUGUUGUGGAUCCCCCUUGGGGGAAGCAUCUGUUGCUUCCCAGCCUUGGAGACUGAACGAUUCGGUCUCACCUCCAAGAUGGAGGCCCUGCACGAGCCAAAGGAUUCCAGACCUCCGUAGCGCAGAGUCUGAUGGCCUUACAGCAGCCUCGAGCCAUCUCCCGCGUUUGUUUUUCAAGUGACGGACACUGGGUCAAGACCCGCCCACCUGCUGAUUGAGGAUGAGGAUAGCCAAUCACUUGCUGCCCUUCCCAUCAACCAAGCUUAGCAGGCAGCAAGUUUCAAUCGAGCACCUGUCUGUAAACUAUAAUUCAUUCAUAGAAAUCAACUCCAAAAAGACACACAAUAAACCCAUUCCCACAUACAAAUGACAUUAACACUAAUUACCUAUUGUGCAGGGCAAUCUCCCUGCCACAGGUCUUUAAAGUGUGUGUUAUAAUUCUAAAAUAUUAUUUUGGGA